GCACGCUGCGCCCAUGGAUCAUGUCUGUGCGUUACACCAGAGGCUCCGGGCUCCACUAAUUCCAUUUAGAGACGGGAAGACUUCCAGUGGCGGGGGGAGGACAGGGUCGAGAGGUGUUAAAGACGCAAAGCAAGAAGGAAAUAAAGGGGGGCCGAGAGGGAGACCGAGAGGAAGGGGGAGCUCCGAGCCCACGCUGCAGCCAGAUCCGGAUGAGUCCGUCCUCCGCCCCGGGCGGGCUCUCGCUCUCGCUGGCCCUCAGCGCCGCGCAGCCAGCAGCAUCCCCACCGUGACGCUCGCAUCACACCCGGGCGCCGGCCGCCACCAUCCGCGCCGCCGCCGUCAGGACCCUCCUCCCGGGCAUCGUCGCCGCCGCGGGGUCGGGAGGACGCGGCGCGCGGGAGGCGGCGGUCGCAGGGCGAGCCCCGGGACGCCCCGAGCCGGGGCCGGGGCCGGGGAGAGGGCGCAGCGAGGUGGGGGCCAGUCCAGACCGACGGCAGCGACGGAGCGGGCGGCGGCGGCGGCGCCGGCGGCGGCGGGGUGGCUCAGUCCCCAGUCUCAGACGCGCCGCGCAGCAGGUCGGAGCAGCCUCCCCGGGAGGAUGUCCAGCGGCAGCGCUCCUCGCUCCAGCCCUUGGGGAUCUUCCGCUGAGGCAUUGAAGGCAGGAAGAAGGGGUCCGUCAUCGGCUCGCCGGGCUGCGCGCCACCUCUGCUAUCUUGCGGAAAGAGGAGCGGGCAUACAACUUAGGAUUCAUAACUACAUAUAUACGGAUAGAAGUGCAUGAACAGAAAAUCUGCCCUUCUGGAAUACCAAAUGCAAAAUUAAAGUGACUACAAGCAGA
rnacentral:lncRNA from 1 species